UACCCUCGAGAUUGAGAUAACCCCGGGAAACCGGGGCUAAUACCGAAUGAAGCAUGACCUGUGAGAUGGUGAUGUGAAAGUGGCGCAAGUCACGUUUGGGGAGCAGCCUGCGUCCUAUCAGCUUGUUGGCGGGGUAACGGCCCACCAAUGCGAAGACGGGUAGCUGAUCUGAGAGGAUGAUCAGCCACACUGGGACUGAGACACGGCCCAGACUCCUACGGGAGGCAGCAGUAGGGAAUAUUGCGCAAUGGGGGAAACCCUGACGCAGCGACGCCGCGUGAGCGAAGAAGGCUUUAUUAGUCGUAAAGCUCUGUAGGGAGGGAAGAACCGCAGGUGGUAACGCAUCUGUCUGACGGUACCUCCAAAGUAAGGACCGGCUAAAUACGUGCCAGCAGCCGCGGUAAUACGUAUGGUCCGAGCGUUGUCCGGAAUUACUGGGCAUAAAGGGUGCGUAGGCGGAUGUGUAAGUCAGGUGUGAAAGCCCUCGGCUCAACCGGGGAAUAGCGCUUGAAACUGCACGUCUGGAGCAUGUCAGAGGCAGGCGGAAUUCCCGGAGUAGC
rnacentral:rRNA from 1 species